CAGCCGUAAACUAUGCUCGCUAGGUGUCAGGCAUGGCGCGACCGUGUCUGGUGCCGCAGGGAAGCCGUGAAGCGAGCCACCUGGGAAGUACGGCCGCAAGGCUGAAACUUAAGGAUUGGCGGGGGAGCACAACAACGGGUGGAGCCUGCGGUUUAAUUGGACUCAACGCCGGACAACUCACCGGGGACGACAGCAAUAUGUAGGCCAGGCUGAAGACCUUGCCUGAAUCGCUGAGAGGAGGUGCAUGGCGUGUGACUGU
rnacentral:rRNA from 1 species